AGAAUCAACGCUGGCGGCGUGCCUCAGACAUGCAAGUCGAACGCGAAAAGUCCCCCUUCGGGGGACAAGUAGAGUGGCGCACGGGUGAGUAACACGUAGGUAAUCUACCUUCGGAUGGGGAAUAACAACCGGAAACGGUUGCUAAUACCGCAUAAUGCAGCGGCACCUAAUGGUGACAGUUGUUAAAGCGGGGGAUCGAAAGACCUCGCGUCUGAAGAGGAGCCUGCGGCGGAUUAGCUAGUUGGUAGGGUAACCGCCUAACCGAAGGCGACGAUCCCGUA
rnacentral:rRNA from 1 species